AAUUCUUCUCUCUCGUUUUUAGUAGUGUUAUAAAAUUUCGUGUGCGUUAUAUAAUGGAGAAGUGUUCCUGCAUUUAUUAAUUAGCAUCUAAAGUCAAAAAAAAUAGCCAACUAAUUUCCGGAAGCUUCUUGGCUGAAUAUGGCAAAUAAACGAAGCUUUUUUGAGGCGUCCGACGGACAUCGUGCUCUCGAGCCCGGCGCGACGCGUUCCGGUAGGUCGGUGACGCCAAGAACCGGACCGGCUGCAAAAACGAUUACGUUUCGAGAAGAGUGAGAGAGGGAAGGUGGAAGGGGGAAGACAGAGAAAGAAUGGCCGGAGAUUACCGGCAGGUCCUGGACCGUAAAGACGACCGGACGCAUCGCCGAAUAUGGCCGAAAACAUCCAUAUGAGGAUCAAAAGAAAGGCUUUAAUGCCGCGAUCGACGUGUCAAGAUGCCGUUGAUGUACACGUGAAAUGUCCUCCAAUUAUAAGAAGCCUAAACAGCCGCAGCUUCUCAGUCCGCGCGUAAAGCUGAUGCAAUAAACCUGCGUGACGCAAACUUGCAUAAUGUAUCUCUGUCUCAUCCAGUCUACUGCAUUGCCAUCAUGCGAGUGCUUGGAUUGCACAAAUUUUAUCCGGACAAGAUAUAUGUACAUACUUAUAUGCACACAUUUGUAUAUAGAGCAUCGAGUAAAUGCUAUGAUU